rnacentral:rRNA from 1 species
UACAGAGGGUGCGAGCGUUGUUCGGAAUUAUUGGGCGUAAAGGGCGCGUAGGCGGUGCGGUAAGUCACCUGUGAAAUCUCCUGGCUCAACUGGGAGCUUGCAGGCGAAACUGCCGUGCUGGAGUGUGGGAGAGGUGCGUGGAAUUCCCGGUGUAGCGGUGAAAUGCGUAGAUAUCAGGAGGAACACCUGUGGCGAAAGCGGCGCACUGGACCACAACUGACGCUGAGGCGCGAAAGCUAGGGGAGCAAACAGG